CUUUUAUUUAAUGCAACUUUUUGAUGCGUUUAAAGCUUUUUCAAACGGCUGCAACAUCUACGGAAACAUUUCAGGACCAUAGACAGCACUUCACAGCUCCAUGAAACGUUAACAGGAACCACAGAACAAUAUAUUAAUCAAUGAGACAAACAUCAAGUGGUUGUGAAAAGAAGUUGCAAAAGUUUCAUAACGCUCAACGUGCUGAGCUGGCAGUUAGCAGCUAACUGCACGUUAGCAUUCCAGGCUAACUAAAUAGCUAAUAACCAGACUUAUCUUUACUAGUAAUGUAAAAACAAAACAAAUUAAAUGAAGGGUUCCUGCGUGUUGGUGGAUUUAACGGCAGUGACGCUGCUUCGCCAGGUGCCAAGGGCCGAGGUCAGAGGUCGCCGGAGUCAUUGAGAGGGUUGGCGAUGACCGACUUGUGAAUGAGCAUGAAGAGCGGCAGGUAGGCCAGGAAGUCCAGCAGGUCCAGGGGGGGGAUGCGCUGCAGCUCCAGCCGCACGGCCGCCUCCUGCUCCAGGUGGAUGCCCCCGGCCUUCAGCUCCAGAAGGAGCUGCUCCGCGCUGAUGGAGCCCCGCUGGGCUCCGGCGUCUCCUUGCUGCUCCUCCAUGAGGAACAGGAACAGUUGCUGCAUAGUGAUGACAAUAUCCAUGGCCGCCACUUUCUGCGCCAGGCUCGCAAUCACAGCAAAGAGCCGGAGGUCCACCAGCCCAUCUGUCACGCUGAAGUCCACCAUCUCUAAGAUCUGGGACGGGCAGAGACAAAAAAAAAAAAAAAAAAGGACACUCAUAAGUAGUCGAGGCGGCGAGCGUGGCCACGGAGAUGACGUCAUCGGCACCGGUUGACAAGGGAAUGGACCGAAAAAGACAAAGAUGUGUCUCCAGCAUCCUGUGGACUCUUAAUCUUAAUAACGAUAAGGCGAGAAACAUUCUUUGGGAAGUCGAGACUAAAGUUUGAGGGUGAGACUCGGUCAGAGCGACUCGGCGUGCGUGUGCCGACCCUGUAGACGUAGAUUUCUUCUUCGUCGGACAGCCGCUCCGCGGGGAUGACGCUCUUGAGCGCGAGCAGAGCCUGAAGGCAGGAUAUGUAGCCGUCAUCAUCAGCGUCCUC
ensembl:lncRNA